rnacentral:rRNA from 1 species
AGCGAACGCUGGCGGCAGGCCUAACACAUGCAAGUCGAACGAACCUUUCGGGGUUAGUGGCGGACGGGUGAGUAACACGUGGGAACGUGCCUUUAGGUUCGGAAUAACUCAGGGAAACUUGUGCUAAUACCGAAUGUGCCCUUCGGGGGAAAGUUUUACCGCCUUUAGACCGGCCCGCGUCUGUUUAGCUAGUUGGUUGAGGUAAUGGCUCACCAAGGCGACGAUCAGUAGCUGGUCUGAGAGGAUGAUCAGCCACAUUGGGACUGAGACACGGCCCAAACUCCUACGGGAGGCAGCAGUGGGGAAUCUUGCGCAAUGGGCGAAAGCCUGACGCAGCCAUGCCGCGUGAAUGAUGAAGGUCUUAGGAUUGUAAAAUUCUUUCACCGGGGACGAUAAUGACGGUACCCGGAGAAGAAGCCCCGGCUAACUUCGUG